GAUGAACGCUGGCGGCGUGCCUAAUACAUGCAAGCCGAGCGAACGGACGAGAAGCUUGCUUUUCUGAUGUUAGCGGCGGACGGGUGAGUAACACGUGGAUAACCUACCUAUAAGACUGGGAUAACUUCGGGAAACCGGAGCUAAUACCGGAUAAUAUUUUGAACCGCAUGGUUCAAAAGUGAAAGACGGUCUUGCUGUCACUUAUAGAUGGAUCCGCGCUGCAUUAGCUAGUUGGUAAGGUAACGGCUUACCAAGGCAACGAUGCAUAGCCGACCUGAGAGGGUGAUCGGCCACACUGGAACUGAGACACGGUCCAGACUCCUACGGGAGGCAGCAGUAGGGAAUCUUCCGCAAAGGGCGAAAGCCUGACGGAGCAACGCCGCGUGAGUGAUGAAGGUCUUCGGAUCGUAAAACUCUGUUAUUAGGGAAGAACAUAUGUGUAAGUAACUGCGCACAUCUUGACGGUACCUAAUCAGAAAGCCACGGAUAACUACGUG
rnacentral:rRNA from 1 species